rnacentral:rRNA from 1 species
UACGGGGGGAGCAAGCGUUGUUCGGAAUUACUGGGCGUAAAGGGCGCGUAGGCGGCCUGCUAAGUCGGAUGUGAAAUCCCUCGGCUCAACCGAGGAACUGCAUCCGAUACUGGCGGGCUUGAAUCCGGGAGAGGGAUGUGGAAUUCCAGGUGUAGCGGUGAAAUGCGCAGAUAUCAGGAGGAACACCAAUGGCGAAGGCAGCACUCUGGGACGUGACUGACGCUGAGACGCGAAAGCGUGGGGAGCAAACAGG